UAAUAGCAUAUCUUUUCAUAUAUAUUUUCUUAUAAACAGCAAUAUUAUCUGAUAUUUCUUUUCAAAAUAAAUAAUAAACAAAUGCCCAAGGGAGACGAUUAAAAAUUAGCCAAAGGAAACACAUAAAAUAUAAAGGACAACAUAAUGAGAAAGAAGAUAAUAACAAAUCAAAAGUUAAGAAAACCAACAAAGACCGGUUUUCAAAAACAUAAUGAUGCUGUAUUGUAAUGUGUGUAAAUCUAACAAUGUUUAUGAAACAAAUAACAAAUAAAUCACGAGAAACGG
rnacentral:lncRNA from 1 species